GGGGCUUGAUGCUGGCUACCAUCCUUUGGCGGCAUGUGCUCGCCCCCCCAGCAAUACUUUUCCAAACACCUGUGCACCUUGUGAGUUCGAGGAAGAGGGGACUCUUUCUUGUCUCAUGAUUCAUAAACGCUGAUUGUAAAUGUUGAAUGCUGUUCGUGCCAUAAAGGCCUUAACCAUAAUAUACAACUUUUGACAACGGAUCUCUUGGCUCUCGCAUCGAUGAAGAACGCAGCGAAAUGCGAUAAGUAAUGUGAAUUGCAGAAUUCAGUGAAUCAUCGAAUCUUUGAACGCACCUUGCGCUCCCUGGUAUUCCGGAGAGCACGCCUGUUCGAGUGUCGUGAAACUGUCAAGCUAGGAUGAUUUUUUUUUCUGUCCUUGCUUGGUUUGUUGGGCUUUGCCGUGUCCUUUCACUAGGAACGGGCUGGCCUUAAAAAGUAUUAGCCCCGACUCCCAAGUGGUUUAUUGGUAUUUCUACUCGGCGUGAUAA
rnacentral:rRNA from 1 species